rnacentral:rRNA from 1 species
CACGUAGGGGGCGAGCGUUGUCCGGAUUUAUUGGGCGUAAAGAGCUCGUAGGCGGCUAAGUAAGUCGGGUGUGAAAACUCCAGGCUCAACCUGGAGACGCCACCUGAUACUGCUUUGGCUAGAGUCCGGUAGGGGAGCAUGGAAUUCCUGGUGUAGCGGUGAAAUGCGCAGAUAUCAGGAGGAACACCAGUGGCGAAGGCGGUGCUCUGGGCCGAUACUGACGCUGAGGAGCGAAAGCGUGGGGAGCGAACAGG